AUUGAAUGCUGGCGGCAUGCCUUACACUUGCAAGUCGAACGGUAACGGGCCUUCGGGUGCCGACGAGUGGCGAACGGGUGAGUAAUGUAUCGGAACGUACCUUUCAGUGGGGGAUAACGUAGCGAAAGUUACGCUAAUACCGCAUAUUCUGUGAGCAGGAAAGCAGGGGAUCGCAAGACCUUGCGCUGAUUGAGCGGCCGAUAUCAGAUUAGCUAGUUGGUGAGGUAAAGGCUCACCAAGGCGACGAACUGUAGCGGGUCUGAGAGGAGGAGCCGCCACACUGGAACUGAGACACGGUCCAGACUCCUACGGUAGGCAGCAGUGGGGAAUUUUGGACAAUGGGGGCAACCCUGAUCCAGCCAUGCCGCGUGAGUGAAGAAGGCCUUCGGGUUGUAAAGCUCUUUCGGCCGGGAAGAAAUCGUAUCAGCUAAUACCUGGUGCGGAUGACGGUACCGGCAUAAGAAGCACCGGCUAACUACGUGCCAGCCGCCGCGGUAAGAC
rnacentral:rRNA from 1 species